GCUCGCCCACCAGAGAAGGUGGCUGCUGGCGUUUGUCACGCAGAGUCCUGCGCUUGACCGGAGGGCCUGCCUGGGGCUGGCUGCCCUGAGGCGCGCGUUCUGAGUGAUUUUAGAGGUCAGUCCUGCUCCUGGGAUCCACCUUUAUGUUGUGGCUAAGAAAUGUUUCACGUCGCCCAAUCUGAAUCAGAAGACAGAUGCACCUUACGUUGUGAAUAAAUAUUCUCAGCAGAUUUGAAGAAUGAAGAGGAAUAAUUUCUCCACCGUGAAUAAAGUUGUUCACUCGUCACCAGCCGUGAAACAGCCCAAACGUGGGCUCUGCACUUCCCUCCGCCAGACUCAGAUGCUCUCUGCCCUUCUGGACUGGGGCACGUUACCUCACCACGUCAUAUUACGGAUUUUUCAGUAUCUUCCUUUAGUAGAUCGAGCCCGGG
rnacentral:lncRNA from 1 species